rnacentral:rRNA from 1 species
UACGAAGGGGGCUAGCGUUGCUCGGAAUCACUGGGCGUAGAGGGUGCGUAGGCGGGUUUCUAAGUCAGAGGUGAAAGCCUGGAGCUCAACUCCAGAACUGCCUUUGAUACUGGAAGUCUUGAGUAUGGCAGAGGUGAGUGGAACUGCGAGUGUAGAGGUGAAAUUCGUAGAUAUUCGCAAGAACACCAGUGGCGAAGGCGGCUCACUGGGCCAUUACUGACGCUGAGGCACGAAAGCGUGGGGAGCAAACAGG